AUUAUACUCCCUCCGUCCCGAACUACUUGUCGUAGAAAUGUAUGUAUUUAGAGCUAAAAAAUGUCUAGGUACAUCCAUUCUUGCGACAAGUAAUUUGGGACAGAGGGAGUACUAU
rfam:Triticum aestivum genome assembly, contig: Triticum_aestivum_CS42_TGACv1_scaffold_404200_5BL